GACGAACGCUGGCGGCGUGCUUAACACAUGCAAGUCGAACGAAGUGGCGAACGGGUGAGUAACGCGUAAUCAACCUGCCCUUCAGAGGGGGACAACAGUUGGAAACGACCGCUAAUACCGCAUACUGAAGGAGGGGAUUGCGUAUGAGUAGCGAGUGGGAGGGGUAACGGCCCACCAAGGCGAUGAUCAGUAGCAGGUCUGAGAGGAUGAACGGCCACAUUGGGACUGAGACACGGCCCAGACUCCUACGGGAGGCAGCAGUGGGGAAUCUUCCGCAAUGGACGAAAGUCUGACGGAGCAACGCCGCGUGAGUGAUGACGGCCUUCGGGUUGUAAAGCUCUGUUAAUCGGGACGCGGUACCGAAAUAGAAAGCCACGGCUAACUACGUGCCAGCAGCCGCGGUAAUUC
rnacentral:rRNA from 1 species